GGCGGCCACCGCUAUUGGAAUACGAUUAAGACAUGCGAGUCGAGAGACGUAAGGUCUCGGCGGACCGCUCAGUAACACGUGGCUAACCUGCCCUUAGGACGAGACCAACCCCGGGAAACUGGGGAUAAUCCUCGAUAGGUGAAGAACUCUGGAAUGAGUCUUUGCCUAAAAGGCGUUGGAUCAUGCUUUCAGCGUCGCCUAAGGAUGGGGCCGCGACCGAUCAGGUUGUUGGUGAGGUAAUGGCCCACCAAGCCUAUAACCGGUGCGGGCCGUGAGAGCGGGAGCCCGGAGAUGGGCACUGAGACAAGGGCCCAGGUCCUACGGGGCGCAGCAGUCGCGAAAACUUUGCAAUACACGAAAGUGUG
rnacentral:rRNA from 1 species